ensembl:lncRNA
GUUUUAGCAGCGGCAAGCCUGCGCUGCGAGGAGGAGAGGAGGACGGCAGCAAAAAGGAAGAACCUGGAUAUAAGAAAGUAUUUUUCAAAGAAACCUGUGACAGAAGAACCAACACAAAGCUCAGAGAGUAAUGGUGAUACAAGAUCACAGGUGUCAGAGGCAGCUCUGCCAUGUUGUAGCUCGGGCAGAGGUGAAGAGGCGAGGUCACAGGUGGCAAUAUGUCCUAGUGCAGUCAGAGGGGAAGAGCCAGGGCCAAAGGAAACCUAAUCUGUGAACACAUGUUUCUGGCCUCCAGAGCUGGAAGUGAAUAAAGCACAGCAUCUGGGCAGAUUCCACCUCCUCAUCACUCUGAAAAUGGUGUGGGCUCCUUUAGGUUCAUGCUAACUGCAUCGAGGAACCAGGAAGCAAAACAGAAGAAGAAGUAAGUGGAAGACAUUUAAAAGAAGCAAUGUGCGGACUAACUACUUCCUCCCUUUGGCCUGAUGAGCACUGUGGAAAAGAGGAAACAUUAAGGCUAGGGAACCUGAUUUGGAUCUGUGAGGGAUUUCUUUGGAACAUCAUCAAGCGGAGGCCUGCUGAAUCCUCCAGUGCAUUGCAAGCUGAACUUCUCAAGAGCCCCCCUUUACCACCCCCACUGACUCCACCCUUUCACAACCUUGGUUCUCAAAGACAAACACAUGUAAGUUGUCCACAAAGAAGAAAUACAUCAAUCCCUUUGGUUUCUAAUGGUCUAAUGUCAGAAAACCACUAAAGGAGUCCUGGUUGGCCGGAUUACUGAUGUGCUGGCAGGACUGCUGGUGCUACGAUGGUCCAAACUUGUUCCACAUUCUGGUUUGCACCAAGGAGCUCCAAGUUGUGGCCAUGGUUGUGUGACCCAGACUGAGACCCUGAUCAAUUUCCAAGUCUUAGAUUCUGGAAAGAAGCCUGCAGCCACAACCCGAUCACAUCUGGUCAGACCUGGAGCUUCCAGACCACAGCUGAGGUCUAAAUCCAACCUGAUCCCAGGCACAAGCUUAUUUUUAGCUCGAUGCAGUUCAGGUAUGGCGACACAGCAGCCAGGCACUGUUUUAUUCCUGAUUUACUUCCCAACACCGUCCGUGGCAAAUAUUUUUUUUAAAAGAUAGAAAACCUGCAUAUUUUUGUCAAAGCGCUUCCCUUUUCUCCUUUUACAGUCAGUAUGUCUCUCAGGAGUGAGUCCAGCUGACUGGAAUCCAGUGUGUCUCUGUCUCCACUUUCUUUAGUGCCAACUGCAGCUCGCUGAAGGCAACAUCAAG